UGCCAGUGUAGGUAGUGCCAACUUAAUAAGAAAGCUUAAGAUUGGGAGGGGUAAACUACCUGAAAAGGAGAACUUCAACGUUUCGAGCUUUUGCCGACGAGGAGUCGUCUCCCGGAACGUCGACGUUGGAUGUUCUCCAUGCAUUUAUCAGAUAAUUGUAUCCCUUCCAAUUCGCAGCGUUCUUUCAAGUGCCUGUACAAAGUAAAACCGAACGAAUGUGCUGGUCAUGCAAGAUCGUGCAAAACAAAAUACAAGUUCUACACUGAAACCCUUUUACGAGUAGCUAUAUAGUGUUGUCUUUUGCUAUACUGUCAAGAAGAAAUGAACAAACCCGAGGUUAUCCAAAAAAUUAUAUAAACUGAGAACAUUUCAUUAUUUUCAUCGCCUCGCGACGCAGUACUGUAUUUCUCCAGAAAAAUAUUAAACAAUUGAACGUGGAGCUCAUACUGACAGAUGUAGUAGCCCAGAGUGCAAGUGAUGAAAACUGUUUUCCGUAAUACGGCGUUUCCCACUUCCAACAUAAACCAAGAUAAACGAUUGGUGUACAAGAGCAGAUAAAGCUGCAAACUACUGCCAAGGUACAUGUACAAAUAUGUUGAAAACCUGCGAAAUGUUUUUUCUUUCGUGUAUGAACAGAGGAUUGUGGCCCAAGAAUAAUAAUCUCGUUUGUCUGUUUAGAUUUUGCAAUGAUGAACAUUUUGUAGUUUAAAAAUGCGAACAAGCACACGGCAAAAGACAGGAUCACUGUCAUCAUGGCAGGUCCUAUUUUGUAACUGGCCGCUGUCGCCUCACCGACAAUUACAAACAAUAUUAUAGCUACUAGACAAGAAAACACUUUUUCUUUUGUCACGAUCCUUUGGUGGAAAAACAGAUAAGCUAUUGCGAGGAAUCUUUCGAUGUUUAGAACUAAUAGGGACAUUAAUGAGAAACUCUGUAACAGAACGCAUAUGUUUAGGCUUAUAUUUUCACGGGGGAGGGAUAGAUCACCAGAAUGCAUGGAGGUGAUUGUUGAUAAUAUAACAACAGGAUGAGUAAUUGCGACCACUAUCAGAUCAAAACAUGAUAAGAUCCGAAUCAUAAAGUAGCAAAGCUUCUUUCCAAACUGUGAUGAUCUCCAUAGACUGAUA
rnacentral:lncRNA from 1 species